rnacentral:rRNA from 1 species
CCUACGGGUGGCUGCAGUGGGGAAUAUUGAACAAUGGGGGCAACCCUGAUCCAGCCAUGCCGCGUGUGUGAAGAAGGCCCUCGGGUUGUAAAGCACUUUCAGUGAGGAAGAACGCCUGGUGGUUAAUACCCAUCAGGAAAGACAUCACUCACAGAAGAAGCACCGGCUAACUCCGUGCCAGCAGCCGCGGUAAUACGGAGGGUGCGAGCGUUAAUCGGAAUUACUGGGCGUAAAGCGCGCGUAGGUGGCUUGAUAAGCCGGUUGUGAAAGCCCCGGGCUCAACCUGGGAACGGCAUCCGGAACUGUCAAGCUAGAGUGCAGGAGAGGAAGGUAGAAUUCCCGGUGUAGCGGUGAAAUGCGUAGAGAUCGGGAGGAAUACCAGUGGCGAAGGCGGCCUUCUGGACUGACACUGACACUGAGGUGCGAAAGCGUGGGUAGCAAACAGGAUUAGAUACCCUGGUAGUC